rfam:Ciona savignyi cont_45930, whole genome shotgun sequence.
GCGCUACACUGACCGCAUCAGCGUGUGCUCUCCUUGGCCGACAGGGUCCGGGAAAACCCGUUGAACCCCGGUCGUGCUAGGGAUAGGGAAUUGCAAUUAUUUCCCUUGAACGAGGAAUUCCCAGUAAGCGCGAGUCAUUAGCUCGCGUUGAUUACGUCCCUGCCCUUUGUACACACCGCCCGUCGCUACUACCGAUUGAAUGGUUUAGUGAGGUCCUCCGAUUGGACCCGGUCCGGGCGGCGACGUCCGAGCCGGCGUCCGAGAAGACGAUCUAACUUGAUCAUUUAGAGGAAGUAAAAGUCGUAACAAGGUUUCCGUAGGUGAACCUGCGGAAGGAUCAUUA